UGCCAGCCGCCGCGGUAAUACGGAGGGGGCUAGCGUUGUUCGGAAUUACUGGGCGUAAAGCGCACGUAGGCGGAUGAUCAAGUUGGGGGUGAAAGCCCAGGGCUCAACCCUGGAAUUGCGUUUAAUACUGGUGAGCUAGAGUUUCGGAGAGGAAGAUGGUAUUCCAUGUGUAGCGGUGAAAUGCGUAGAUAUAUGGGAGAACACCAAUGGCGAAAGCAGUCUUCUGGACGAACACUGACGCUGAGGCGUGAAAGCGUGGGUAGCGAACAGGAUUAGAUA
rnacentral:rRNA from 1 species